CUAAAUGUAAAUAUAAUGUAAAUGUAAAUAACAAAACUAAAUUGACAUUUAAAAAAAAGCUCCAAAUCAAAUAAUUAAGUAACAAAUAAAAGAAAUCUCUUCAUAUAAACAAACUAAGGCUUUGUCUGUGCUCUUGUCACAAAUCUGGUCUGUGGCCCUCUGCCCGAUAGCCACCAGAGGUCACCCUUCCAUCGAAUUGACUCAGUACACUACUGUUGCACGUCACCCACGGACUACAGUACCCAUUAUCCAUUGCACUGACGACACGCACACACACACACACAGCUGAUUGCUUAAAUACUUUCGUUUGAAUACUGAAGGUUGAAUACAUUGUUGUAGUCAUGUCCCCAUGUGCUCCAAUACAGCAGGUGUGGUAAUUUUAGUUUGAUUGCAAUGAAUAGGGUUUAUAAAUGCACAGCCAUGAACUUGCUGUAUGAUAAUGAUAUUUUGCCUUAGUAAUAAAUAUCAUCAAUAAUUAUUUUUUCACCUCUUUUUCAGUAAAAAUUCACAGCUUCAUGCGGACAGCUACUUCAUGUUCCAUUGAGCAAGCAGCUGAGUUUUCAGACAGCAUUUUAAACAUGAUUGUCACAGACAUGCGCCCACUGUCCAUGGUGGAGGAUGAUGGCUUUAAAGCAAUGAUUUCCACUUUCAAUCCCAAGUACGAGCUUCCUUCAAGGUCCUUCUUCAUGAAAAAGAUGGAGAAAAAGUAUGAAUGCAUCAAAGGCAAGUUGAAGAAAGCCCUGCAGGAGACUGACAGCAUUGCACUCACAACUGAUAUUUGGACGAGCGUUGCAACAGAGGCUUAUCUGGGGGUGACGUGUCACUACCUUGGGGAGGAUUGGGAAAUGUUGUCUCACUGCCUGACAACGAUGCCCCUUGAAGAGAGACACACAGCAGCAAAUAUUGCAGAGUGGAUUGAGGAUGUAACUGCCAAAUUCGACAUUCCACCUGAGAAAAUCAAAGCUGUUGUUCACGACAAUGGUGCUAAUGUCGUAGCAGCAGCGAAGAUUAUGCAAGAAAGGCAUGGAUGGGCAUCAGUGCGAUGUGCAGGACACACCCUCAACUUGGUUGUACAAAGCUCUCUAAAGAUCCACCAAACCAUCUCCAAGUGUGUGGCUGCUGUGAGAUGCCUUGUUGAACAUUUUGAGAAGAGUGAACUGGCAUGCACCAAGUUGAAGGAGAAGCAGAAGCAAAUGGGCACCGAGACAAACAUGCUGGUGCAAGAUGUAUGUACACGCUGGAACAGCACCUAUCAGAUGUUGUCCAGGCUGCUAGAACAAAGAUGGCCGGUGACUGCUACACUCUCUGACCCAGCCGUUACUCAGAGAGGGAAACACUACCUUGAUCUCAAGCCUGAACAGUGGAACCUGAUUGAGGAGCUGAGCCAGGUCUUGAGCCCUUUGAAGCAGCUACAGUGUUUCUGAGCGGACAGCAAUAUGUUACACUAUCUGCACUUCCACAGCUAGUGCUCAAACUUAAGAAAAACAUACAGAGUCCAGAUCUUGAGACUGCACCAGUGAGGUCAUUCCAGGCUCAUGCAACAGAACAGAUCACAGCAAGAUGGCAAGGACUGACAGAGUUUACACCUGAAUCUCCUAACAUCACCCUGUUUGCUGCUGCUCUGGAUCCCAGGUUUCGAAAACUUAAGUUCUUGCCUGCUGACCAAGUAUUCAAGGUCCAAAGCACAGUACAAACCAUGGCACUUGCUGUUGUUGCCAAAAAGCAAGCAAGGCAGCCCACUGCAAGUGAAAAUGGAGCAUCCAGCACAGCACACAACUCCCCAGAAGCGAAUGCCAAGAGGGUCACAUCGUUCCUCAACAUACUGGGAUCAGACUCCAGCCCCAGUGAUGAAGAAGAAGAUGAGGAGCAGCAGUUAAACCAAGCUGUGCAGAGGGAGAUCUUGAUGUAUUUCGGAGAACAUCCCCUUGUCCAAAAAGGAGAAUCCACUGUCAUGGUGGAAAAUGAAUGCUGUGCACUAUCCAACACUGUCAAAGCUGGCAAAGACUGUGCUGUGUAUUCCGGCCACAUACACGCCAUCAGAGCAUCUGUUUUCAGCAGCAGGAAACACUGCUUCAAAGCGCAGGGCAAGCCUCAGUUCUGAGCAUGUUGACAUGCUUACCUUUCUUCAUUGCAAUCGCGUGCUCUUCUAAAGACUUGCACACACACACGUUGAGAGAGAGACAUUUAUAUUCUUAUGAAUAUAUUGGCUUAAAGCAGUCAGUGUGAAACCAUGUAUGGACUCUUGUUCCAAGUUCCUGUCCAUGUUUUUGCCUCCUAAAUGCCACAAAGCAUUCAGUAAAGGCUUAUGUUACGCCUGAGCUGUAGAUUUUGAAAUCUUUAGUUCUGAAAGUUAAGU